GACGAACGCUGGCGGCGGGCUUAACACAUGCAAGUCGAACGGAAAGGCCCUGCUUUUGUGGGGUGCUCGAGUGGCGAACGGGUGAGUAACACGUGAGUAACCUGCCCUUGACUUUGGGAUAACUUCAGGAAACUGGGGCUAAUACCGGAUAGGAGCUCCUGCUGCAUGGUGGGGGUUGGAAAGUUUCGGCGGUUGGGGAUGGACUCGCGGCUUAUCAGCUUGUUGGUGGGGUAGGGGCUUACCAAGGCUUUGGCGGGUAGCCGGCCUGAGAGGGUGACCGGCCACCUUGGGACUGCGAUACGGACCAGACUCCUACGGGAGGCAGCAGUGGGGAAUAUUGCACAAUGGGCGGAAGCCUGAUGCAGCAACGCCGCGUUCGGGAUGACGGCCUUCGGGUUGUAAACCGCUUUCGCCUGUGACGAAGCGUGAGUGACGGUAAUGGGUAAAGAAGCACCGGCUAACUACGUG
rnacentral:rRNA from 1 species